CUGAAACUCGCCUGCACGAAGUUGGAGUUGCUAGUAAUCGCAGAUCAGAAUGCUGCGGUGAAUGCGUUCCCGGGUCUUGUACACACCGCCCGUCACACCAUGGAAGUUGGGGUGCCCAAAGUCGGUUAGAAAAUAAACUGCCUAAGGCAAAACCAAUGACUGGGGUGAAGUCGUAACAAGGUAAC
rnacentral:rRNA from 1 species